GGACGAAGUAGCUGAGCUGUGGACCUUGGGCCCUGUGCAAGGAGAACAGUGUCUUUUUUGAGCAAUCUGGUGUUCUUCCUGACUGGCAGCCUUCUGGAUGAAGUAGCUGAGCUGUGGACCCUGGGUCCUGUGCAAGGAGAACAGUGUCUUUUUUGAGCAAUCUGGUGUUCUUCCUGACUGGCAGCCUUCUGGAUGAAGUAGCUGAGCUGUGGACCCUGGGUCCUGUGCAAGGAGAACAGUGUCUUUUUUGAGCAAUCUGGUGUUCUUCCUGACUGGCAGAAAAGAGGAAAUGGAGUAGAAGCAGAGUCUGCAGCAGGAUGAAGGAUGGGCCCCCAAUGAGACAAGAACUCCAACAGGCCUGAAGGAAGAAUGAGUCAAGAUGAUUUCAAGGUGUAUAUGCCCCAGAGUCAAGGAGCAGAACCAGGCAGAUAGCCAGAAUGACUGGUAGGUCUGGCACAAGAUCCCAGGCUCAAGUACCUGUUGGGGACUGUAUGUGGCCAAGAAUA